CAGCAUCACCUGGUUCUCUCAGUUCAGCUGUCAUCUGAUGUAUAGUCAAUUACCCAAUCUUUUAACCUCUUAGGACUUUCUCACCCAGUUAAGAUGAAUCUGGCAGGGCAAGAUUUCUACAUUUCUUCACAAGGGAAACAAAAUUAGGAUAAACCGGGACAUUCAAAAUCAGGUAACUACAACAAACACACCUGUGAAAAGAAGGUCAAGCUGCAGUACGGAAGAUUACUUUUAAAAAAGCUGAUGUUUUCAAAUCAGCAGGUUCUGAUGACUUGACCUGGUGAUCAAGAAUGAAGAAGCUUCCCUAUUCAGCUCUUCUUGUGGUCUGGCUCCACCCUGCUCCAACUAUCAACAAAAACCUUCCUUGCCGUGUUCUGCUCCUCUCUAUAAAGUCUAGUGUCCUGGGGUCUGAAUUCUUUUGGAGUCAGAAGACUUCCCCUUUCCCAUCCUGCAAGCAAGUGAAUUUAUCUUAAGAGCAAGUGAAUUAAUCUUUAAAAGUUGAUUUGUGGUUAAUUUUCAGGAGACUUGCGCAGACUUAUGGUGCUUGACUCAAGUGCCGUAAUUUCUGAGUUAUUGCUCUAUAUGUGUUGUUAUAGAUUUAGGUUUAGCUGUUUAACUCUGCUUUCU